rnacentral:rRNA from 1 species
AAUGAACGCUGGCGGCAGGCUUAACACAUGCAAGUCGAACGCUCGUAGCAAUACGGGAGUGGCGGACGGGUGAGUAACGCGUGGGAACGUGCCCUGAGGUACGGAAUAACUGCGGGAAACUGCAGCUAAUACCGUAUGAGCCCCGCAAGGGGGAAAGAUUUAUCGCCUUGGGAGCGGCCCGCGUCGGAUUAGCUAGUUGGUGGGGUAACGGCCUACCAAGGCUUCGAUCCGUAGCUGGUCUGAGAGGAUGAUCAGCCACACUGGAACUGAGACACGGUCCAGACUCCUACGGGAGGCAGCAGUAGGGAAUAUUGGACAAUGGGGGCAACCCUGAUCCAGCCAUGCCGCGUGAGUGAAGAAGGCCCUCGGGUUGUAAAGCUCUUUUGUCCGGAAAGAAAGCAUCUGGUUAAUACCCGGGUGUUCUGACGGUACCGGAAGAAUAAGCACCGGCUAACUUCGUGCCAGCAGCCGCGGUAAAGUCCGUCAUGU